GGAGGUGGAUAGGUACCUGGUGAGCCUCCUGGUCUUCAAAACCAGUGUUGGAUGUGUAGAACAUCCUAGGUGAGUUCGAUUCUCACACACCUUCGCCA
rnacentral:tRNA from 1 species